AAUAUAGUGCCUGAUAAAAGGAUAACUUUGAUAGAGUUAAUUAUGUGAUAUCUCACCUAUAUUA
rnacentral:tRNA from 1 species